rnacentral:rRNA from 1 species
UACGAAGGGGGCUAGCGUUGUUCGGAUUUACUGGGCGUAAAGGGCGCGUAGGCGGGCGAAUAAGUCAGGGGUGAAAUCCCAAGGCUCAACCUUGGAACUGCCUUUGAUACUGUUUGUCUUGAGUCCGGGAGAGGUGAGUGGAACUGCGAGUGUAGAGGUGAAAUUCGUAGAUAUUCGCAAGAACACCAGUGGCGAAGGCGGCUCACUGGCCCGAUACUGACGCUGAGGCACGAAAGCGUGGGGAGCAAACAGG